UACGUAGGCAGCAAGCGUUGUUCGGAAUUACUGGGCGUAAAGAGUGUGUAGGCGGUGUUCUAAGUUCGGUGUGAAAUCUCCCGGCUCAACUGGGAGGGUGCGCCGAAAACUGGGAUGCUCGAGCGUGGGAGAGGAAAGCGGAAUUCCUGGUGUAGCGGUGAAAUGCGUAGAUAUCAGGAGGAAGACCAGUGGCGAAGGCGGGUCUCUGGACAGUUCCUGACACUGAGACACGAAGGCCAGGGGAGCAAACGGG
rnacentral:rRNA from 1 species